rnacentral:rRNA from 1 species
UGCAUGUCUAAGUACGUGCCUAAGAAAGGUGAAACCGCGAAUGGCUCAUUAAAUCAGUUAUGGUUCCUUAGAUCGUACCUUACUACUUGGAUAACUGUGGUAAUUCUAGAGCUAAUACAUGCAGCAGAGCUCCGACCUUCGGGGACGAGCGCUUUUAUUAGACCAAGACCAAUCGGACUUCGGUCCGAAGCUCAUGGUGACUCUGGAUAACUUUGGGCUGAUCGCACGGUCUCGUACCGGCGACGCAUCUUUCAAGUGUCUGCCUUAUCAACUUUCGAUGGUAGGUUAUGCGCCUACCAUGGUCGUAACGGGUAACGGGGAAUCAGGGUUCGAUUCCGGAGAGGGAGCCUGAGAAACGGCUACCACAUCCAAGGAAGGCAGCAGGCGCGCAAAUUACCCACUCCCGGCACGGGGAGGUAGUGACGAAAAAUAACAAUACGGGACUCUAUUGAGGCCCCGUAAUUGGAAUGAGUACACUCUAAAUCCUUUAACGAGGAUCUAUUGGAGGGCAAGUCUGGUGCCAGCAGCCGCGGUAAUUCCAGCUCCAAUAGCGUAUAUUAAAGUUGUUGCGGUUAAAAAGCUCGUAGUUGGAUCUCAGUUCCAGACGGGUGGUCCACCCCUGGUGGUUACUGCCUGGCCUGAACAAAUCCAGCCGGUUUUCCUUGAUGCUCUUCACCGAGUGUCUUGGGUGACCGGCACGUUUACUUUGAAAAAAUUAGAGUGCUCAAAGCAGGCGUGACGCCUGAAUAAUGGUGCAUGGAAUAAUGGAAUAGGACCUCGGUUCUAUUUUGUUGGUUUUCGGAACACGAGGUAAUGAUUAAGAGGGACAGACGGGGGCAUUCGUAUUGCGACGCUAGAGGUGAAA